UGGGGAAUAUUGGACAAUGGGGGCAACCCUGAUCCAGCCAUGCCGCGUGAAUGAUGAAGGCCUCCGGGUUGUAAAGUUCUUUUGGUGGGGACGAUGAUGACGGUACCCACAGAAUAAGCUCCGGCUAACUUCGUGCCAGCAGCCGCGGUAAUACGAAGGGAGCUAGCGUUGUUCGGAAUUACUGGGCGUAAAGGGCGCGUAGGCGGUUAAACAAGUCAGGCGUGAAAGCCCCGGGCUCAACCCGGGAACUGCGCUUGAGACUGUUUUCCUAGAGUACGGUAGAGGUAAGUGGAAUUCCCAGUGUAGCAGUGAAAUGCGUAGAUAUUGGGAGGAACACCAGUGGCGAAGGCGGCUUACUGGACCGUAACUGACGCUGAGGCGCGAAAGCGUGGGGAGCAAA
rnacentral:rRNA from 1 species